GUACUCUGGGAUAAGCCCGGGAAACUGGGUCUAAUACCGGAUAUGACACCUGAGGGCAUCUUCGGGUGUGGAAAGUUCCGGCGGUACAGGAUGGACCCGCGGCCUAUCAGCUUGUUGGUGGGGUAAUGGCCUACCAAGGCGACGACGGGUAGCCGGCCUGAGAGGGUGACCGGCCACACUGGGACUGAGACACGGCCCAGACUCCUACGGGAGGCAGCAGUGGGGAAUAUUGCACAAUGGGCGAAAGCCUGAUGCAGCGACGCCGCGUGAGGGAUGACGGCCUUCGGGUUGUAAACCUCUUUCAGCAGGGACGAAGCGCAAGUGACGGUACCUGCAGAAGAAGCACCGGCUAACUACGUGCCAGCAGCCGCGGUAAUACGUAGGGUGCGAGCGUUGUCCGGAAUUAUUGGGCGUAAAGAGCUCGUAGGCGGUUUGUCGCGUCGGCCGUGAAAACUUGGGGCUUAACCCCGAGCCUGCGGUCGAUACGGGCAGACUUGAGUUCGGCAGGGGAGACUGGAAUUCCUGGUGUAGCGGUGAAAUGCGCAGAUAUCAGGAGGAACACCGGUGGCGAAGGCGGGUCUCUGGGCCGAUACUGACGCUGAGGAGCGAAAGCGUGGGGAGCGAACAGGAUUAGAUACCCUGGUAGUCCACGCCGUAAACGGUGGGUGCUAGGUGUGGGGGACUUCCACGUUCUCCGUGCCGCAGCUAACGCAUUAAGCACCCCG
rnacentral:rRNA from 1 species